ensembl:lncRNA
UUCUAAAAUAUAGGUGCUCUUGUGGCCGAGGAGGCCUGUAUGUGCUGGGUAUCGCUAGCGCUUCAGGAAUGACUUCCAUGAGCCCAACGUUGUGUGCUCUGUGCACACUGGUUUUCAGAAGGGGCAGGUUGCAGCCCAUACUCUGUGUGCCUUUUGGGCUGGCAUGUGUGCAGUACGAGACCACGUGGAAUUUCCACAAAAAUGUCAAUAUCAUUAAUAAUGAGAUAGACAUGGGAUGGCAAGCUCAUGCUGCAGCAAGCUCCGUGGGAGCAGCAGAGGCUCGAUUUCCUCAUGAUGUUUUCCAACACUUGGUCACGGUGAGCCUGGGCAGAGGCCAGCACAGUUCCACCAGGAAGGACCACCAAAGGAAGACAGCAACACAGAAGGUUCAACAGCUGUAGUCCCUUCAUCACUUGAGCCAUAAGUCACCAAGACCUGAAGACCAUGGAUGGAUUGCAUUCCUUUCGGAUCUCGUAAGUGUUUCCGGAGUUCCUAUUCAUUCUUCGUGCUAUUGCGACACUCACUGAGGCUUCAGACAGCAAGAGCAAUGGAUCAACAGCUGCUUUCCAGUUGCAAAGUCAACAACAGGAAAGAGAGGAGCCCCUUACAGAUCCUAGAGCCAGAAGAAUGCAGGUACAGAACAGCUAGUGUCUACCAUAUCAGUACUUCCCUGGUGAUCCUCAGCUUUUGCAGACUUCUUGUUUUAACUAAAAGGUUGAAAUUAUUUUUGGAGACAAAAAAAUGUAAUCUUUAUGUGUAUACUGACAGCACACCAUCCUGGACAACUCCAAGAAAAGCAUACUCUGUGUCUGAGAGGUAGCCUGUAUCAAUGAGGUCAUCUCUGAAACUUAAUUAUGACAAAAUACCUGCAACUUCUAAUAUCAGGCUUAAUCAGUUUUAUGACAUUCAACCUCCCCGAGCAGAGCUGGUGUGAACGCAAUAGGAAGACUUCAGCCACGUAAACAUCAUCAUUUCCUUGGCACCUGGCAGGCCCCACACAUGCUUGCACAGCAGUAGCACAGCCAUCCCAGGGAGCGUUCAGGCACUAACAGUCCUGAUGGGAAAGGGCCCCACCAGAUCACCUUGUGGCUCCUGGAGGGCAGGAGCCAGGGGCCUCCCAUGUGCUGCAUCAGCCAAGGUCUUAGUCGAGGUAAAAUCUUGUCUGAGGUCAGUAGGUUGGAGCGUUAACUUUUGUGAGUGAGGAGGACAAACUUCUGAGUUAACUGAAAUUAAGAAUUCAUCGCUUCUUCAUUUCACUUUUCACUAUAAAUGGUUUCUGUCUUUAUGUGGGAGUGUUGGGGCCCCUCUUAGCCUGAAUGAGCUGGUGUUGAACUGCAGAGCUACAGCUCUGCCAUGGCAGGGGCGCAUCGCAGCGUGGAUGUGGGCUACAAGGAGUGUCAAGGCCCAGCAAAAGAUAAUUAAUUUUCUUGUACUUGCCAAUCAGGAGCAUUAGGACUUACGCAAGAAUGAAGCUGAAAGUGCAAAUAAGGCCAGUGACCAAACCUUUCUGGCAAUUACUUUUAAUAAGGUACUGCGUGUUAUUUACAGAAAACACAUGUCACACAAUUCCUACACAUGAGAGGCACACAAAGGAUAAAGACAAAAGCUGCACUUCAGAACAUGCUAAACAAAAUAAAUAAAAAGUUAUUAUUUUUGCA